UCGAUAAUAAAUAAAUUAUGUGCUGAACAAAGUGAUUAAAGUUAAAGUGAUGGUGAUGAAAUUUAACCGUCUACGAAUCUGUUUGAAGAUGAUGUUUUAUACUUAGUUUAACAUCCGCAAAUUUGAACAUCAAUCUUUUAAUUUCAGAGAGAAACGAUGAUGAAUAAAAAAAAUUUAAUAGCAACAAACUAAAACAGCAAAAAUGCAUAAAUUUGAAAUGCAGAAUCAACCAAAAAGAAAUCGGGUUAAUUUUGAAAUAUUUACUUGUUGAGUUCACACAUGGUAAAGUGUUCUGGUUUACAAAUUUAAAAACGUAUUUAAUUUUGCAGCAGAUUGUAAUUAUGCCAGCCCAAGAGAGAGAGAGAGAGAGAGAUGAGCCCUCCAGCGUUGACACUAUUCGAAGAAAAAAAGGGUGAUCUCCUCCAACAUAUGAAACUCUAGAAGGACAAAGAUUGCAACAUGUGUUGCAACUUGGCUUGACAUGUCCCUGCUGUCGGCAGUUGAUUUCAACAAAAACAACAUGUUGCAUAUCACAAACUAAGCCAGCAAAAUGCGUCAAAUACCAAUAAAAUUCCACAUAGGAAAA